rnacentral:rRNA from 1 species
AUUGAACGCUGGCGGCAGGCCUAACACAUGCAAGUCGAAAGAGUGGCGGACGGGUGAGUAAUGUAUGGGAAACUGCCCGAUGGAGGGGGAUAACUACUGGAAACGGUAGCUAAUACCGCAUACCAUCGGAUGUGCCCAUAUGGGAUUAGCUAGUAGGUGAGGUAACGGCUCACCUAGGCAACGAUCCCUAGCUGGUCUGAGAGGAUGAUCAGCCACACUGGAACUGAGACACGGUCCAGACUCCUACGGGAGGCAGCAGUGGGGAAUAUUGCACAAUGGGCGCAAGCCUGAUGCAGCCAUGCCGCGUGUAUGAAGAAGGCCUGAGGGUGGUAAAGUACUUUCAGCCGGGAGGCGUUACCCGCAGAAGAAGCACCGGCUAACUCCGUGCCAGCAGCCGCGGUAAUAC